rnacentral:rRNA from 1 species
UACAGAGGGUGCAAGCGUUGUUCGGAAUUAUUGGGCGUAAAGCGCACGUAGGCGGCUUUGCAAGUCAGAGGUGAAAGCCCGGGGCUCAACCCCGGAAUUGCCUUUGAGACUGCAUCGCUAGAAUUGUGGAGAGGUAAGUGGAAUUCCGAGUGUAGAGGUGAAAUUCGUAGAUAUUCGGAAGAACACCAGUGGCGAAGGCGACUUACUGGACACAUAUUGACGCUGAGGUGCGAAAGCGUGGGGAGCAAACAGG